GUUGCCGGCCAUAGGGCGCGGGACCCACCUGAUCCCAUUCCGAACUCAGAAGUUAAACUGCGCUCCGUUUCCGGUGUUAGUGUGGUCUUCGGCCACGCGAAGCCGGGAAAGCUGGCAACC
rfam:Bathyarchaeota archaeon BA2 ba2_19, whole genome shotgun sequence.